GGGAGCUCCGGGGUGGGGGCCGCCAUAUUGCGGUGGUUGAGGGAGAAGGGGGCUCUCGGCGUUGCUGCAGUUGGAGCUGUCACUGCGCGGCUCCCCGCUUUCUCCCGCUGGAGCCCGCGGCGCGGAGCGCUGGGCCGCCAUGGCCCGGAGGCUGAACACGGAGCAGGGCAUCCGCCUCAGCGCGAUGAGCCCGCGUUACCUGCAGAGCAACAGCACCAGCCACACGCGGCCCUUCAGCGCCAUGGCCGAGCUGCUGGACAAUGCUUCAGAUCCAGGUGUGACGGCUAAGCUUCUCUGCAUUGAUGUUGUGGAGAUCAAGGGGGAGCUUUGUUUGACUUUCACAGAUAAUGGUGCUGGAAUGACACCUCACAAACUUCACCGUAUGCUCAGCUUUGGCUUCACAGACAAGGCAGUGAAGAAGAACCACCCAUCCAUUGGAGUGUAUGGUAAUGGUUUCAAGUCAGGCUCCAUGCGUCUGGGAAAGGAUGCCAUUGUCUUCACCAAGAAUGGAGGUGCACUCAGUGUGGGGCUCCUUUCGCAGACCUAUUUGGAACGUGUCCAUGCUCAGGCUGUUGUUGUCCCGGUGAUACCGUUCAACCAGCAAAACAAGAAAAUGAUUGUUACAGAAGACUCGGGUCCUAGCCUUGAGGCCAUCCUGAAACAUACGCUCUUCAGUACUGAGGAGGAGUUGCUGGCUCAGUUUGAUGCCAUUCCAGGCAAAAAGGGCACACGGAUCCUCAUCUGGAACAUCCGCAGAAAUAAAGAUGGGAAACCUGAAUUGGACUUUGAUACAGACCAGUUUGACAUUCGGAUAUCAGACUUCAACACGGAGGAAUCAGAGAAUGCUGGCAGGAAGGUUCCUCCUCGCCUUGAGAAGGUGCAAGAGUCCUCUGCACCAGAAACCGAGUACUCCUUACGGGCAUACUGCAGUAUCUUGUACCUGAAGCCCCGCAUGCAGAUUGUUCUGCGACAGAAGAAAGUGAAGACUCAGCUGAUCUCCAAGAGCUUGGCUAAUAUCGAAUAUGAUGUAUACAGACCUACCUCCACAAACAAGAGGGUGAAGAUCACCUUUGGGUUCAAUUGCAAGAACAAUAGCCACUUUGGAAUCAUGAUGUACCACAACAACCGACUCAUCAAGUCCUACGAGAAAGUGGGCUGCCAAAUGAAGGGGGAUGGCAUGGGCGUGAUCGGGGUGAUUGAGUGCAACUUCUUGAAACCAGCACACAACAAACAGGACUUUGAAGAAAGCAAGGAAUACCGACGGACAAUUACUGCACUGGGACAGAAACUCAACACUUAUUGGAAGGCGAAGGUGGCGCAGAUGAACUUUGGCAGCACUGGAACUACCCAUGUGCCAGCAGGGAGACCAGACCAGACUUGGGUGCAGUGUGAGGAGUGUUUGAAAUGGAGGAAGCUCCCUGACAAGGUUGAUCCUGCAUCAUUACCUGAGAAGUGGUUCUGUCAUCUCCAUCCCCACCCCAAGUACAAAAGCUGCUCAGCACCUGAAGAGCAGGAGCCCAGUGAUGAGGAGAUGAGCCCCAGCUAUGACCGAAAAUUCAGGAAACAAGAGCAGACCGCAGAGAGAAAGAGGAGGAGGUCGUCAUCAUCUUUGGAGAACCUGGAACACCAGGUAUUAUCCACUACACCAGAGCUCUGUCCUGCUCAGAAUAACAGUGUAACACGAGUGAUAAAGCAAGAGCCUGCAGAAGAGGGGCCUGAUGGGAUUGCUGGCUCUCUCACUCCUCCCCCUGCUCUUGACAGGGUCGGUGCUGUCUGUCUGACCACUGGGCCUUUGGAGCAAAAUAUACCACAGACAACUUCAAGCAAGCACAAGCUGUCCACAGAAGAAGAGCUGCUGGAAAAGCGGAAGCGCUAUCAGGAGCAGAUAGACCCAUCCCCCCCAGAUCUGACCAGUCCAAGCCCCCCUACUUCUUUUGAAAGGGAGAGCUUCACUGAAGUGGACCAGGAUCAGGAAUGCAGUGAGUCUGACAAGGAUGAUGAAAGUAUACAGGGGAGCAUAGACUCCUGCCUAGUCAGAGAACAUCUGGAUGCACUCUCUGGCACCAACCAAGCUGUGGAUGCUUCACACAAUGGGGGUCUCUGUCCUACCAAAGAGACUCCAGCAAGUCUCGGUCACUUUGAAGGAGAGCAAAAGGAGACUGCAGUGGUCCAGGUGGAACUGGAAGAGGAAAUGCCAGCCUUAAUAUCAGAAAGCCAGGCAGCAGAUAAGAGUGUCUGUGUAAAUACAUGUGGGAACGUGGAGGAGGUGGACAAGAGGCCCUUCGUGGCUGUUGUUGGUAUUUCAAAGACUGCUGCGGAUGGUGAGGCUCCCAUUCAGCUAAUCCCCUUUGGGUGGGAGGAGAGACUUGAUAAAGCAAAGGUUGAGGUGAAGACCAGGAGCCACAAUGAUCCUCCCCCUGAUGAGGACAAAGGAGGAGGAGAUCUGCAGGUACCAAAGACCAGAAAUCAGAGGGAUAUGGUGGAGCAGGAGGAGCUGAGACAAACUGUGGAGAAUUUCUCAGUGGAGCUGAAGAGGGUCUCAGCGGAACGGGAUUUGCUCCAGGGCAAGGUGGAGGAACUAGAGCAGGAGAAGUGCCACCUGGAGACAGAUUUCUUGAAAAGCCAACAGGAGUUGGCAACGCUCAGGGCCCAGGAGACUGAAGGCUUGUACUGGAGCAAGAAACACAUGGGUUACCGCCAGGCUGAACUGCAAGAGCUGAAGGCUCAGCUGGAGAGGACCAUAGAGGAAAAGACCGAGCUGAAGGAGAGGCUCAAGGAGACAGAGAUGCACCUGGAGGUGCUUAGGGAGGCACAUGUUUCCUGCAGGAGCCCAGAGAGAGGAGACUUGAAAAGAGAAGUGAACUGAUUUGCACAAUGUCGCAUGAGAAACUUACAACAGAGUUGAGAACUGAGUUACAUUCCCCUAUUUACAAUCCUGUGCAUUGGCUCCAAGAUCUUCCCAUCCUACCAUCUGCAGCUUGCACUGUCUUUAGAAUGGAGCAAAGAACCUCAGCCUUCCACGGCACUGCACUAUGGAGAAGCUGAAGAACCUGCGUAGGAAUGUCAGCCAGCUCCUCUCACUGGUCCUCCCUCACCUAGAGCUGCAGGAUGUUAACUAUGAUUCGGACCAGAUUGAUGAAAUCUUACAGACAGUGUUGGAGACAAAC